AGUGAACGCUGGCGGUAGGCCUAACACAUGCCAGUCGAACGGCAGCACAGUAAGAGCUUGCUCUUACGGGUGGCGAGUGGCGGACGGGUGAGGAAUACAUCGGAAUCUACUUUUUCGUGGGGGAUAACGUAGGGAAACUUACGCUAAUACCGCAUACGACCUACGGGUGAAAGCAGGGGAUCUUCGGACCUUGCGCGAUUGAAUGAGCCGAUGUCGGAUUAGCUAGUUGGCGGGGUAAAGGCCCACCAAGGCGACGAUCCGUAGCUGGUCUGAGAGGAUGAUCAGCCACACUGGAACUGAGACACGGUCCAGACUCCUACGGGAGGCAGCAGUGGGGAAUAUUGGACAAUGGGCGCAAGCCUGAUCCAGCCAUACCGCGUGGGUGAAGAAGGCCUUCGGGUUGUAAAGCCCUUUUGUUGGGAAAGAAAAGCAGCAGGUUAAUACCCCGCUGUUCUGACGGUACCCAAAGAAUAAGCACCGGCUAACUUCGG
rnacentral:rRNA from 1 species